GAUAUAAGUAAAGCUCCGAUGCUUCCUAGCUGCAGUACUGGGUUGCCUCCUGCACCGACCCUUGCACUAAUAUUGAAAAAACUUUCUUCUAUUUGCACAUUUUUUUUUUUUUCAUAUUUAUAUCAUAAAACUCAAACGCGAACUACGAUGAUUCAUGUGAUAAUUAAAUCACGUUACAACUAUAACGUUCACAUACCAAUAUUGCAGUUAACGCGGAUACCUGAAUCAUUGGAUGUAAAUGCAACGAAAAAUGCAAAAGCUCUGAUAAAAAUUACGAAAAACACCUGCGCCCGUCAAACAAAGUGCCGUGAAUUUUUAAGCGAAGAGAAAAAAAAAAAUGAAAAGAUGAUCCAGCAGCUUCGAAAAUUUUUAGACAAGCUUACCCAUGCGUAUAUAUCACCUCGCAUUAUAAGGGGUCAUCGAGAGUGAGCUGAAUUAAUGCAAAAAGUGAUCUUGCUUUUUUUUUUUAUUUUUUUUCUCUCAUCUACAUAUCAUAAAACGAUACAUGGAAUAUCAUGUUUGAAAUACAUCGCAGUUGUUAGCUUGUGUUUGUGUAGCUCACAUGUAAAAGGAGUCCCUCACUAUUUUAACGGGCGGUAGAAGAAGAGAAUGCGAGGCUUUGUGACGGCUGCACUCGAAUGGAGGCAAGCUUUUCGCCGAUUGGUUCUCCGCCCGGGAGGGUCCAGAGGAUGGAGGAUGGAGGAUGGACGAGGGAGAUUAUUGGGAAUGGAGAAUGGAGAAUGGCGGAACGAAUCGAAGGAGUGGGGAAAUUCAACUCAUGUGUACAGUACUAUGAUGUAUAAAUCGCAACCCUUAGGAAUUUUGCGAAACGCUGCAGGCGAAAUUAUCAUCUACAUACAUUCAUACUUCGAUAUACACGAACCUUUGCUCGCGCAUAUUUGUCGAUUCCGAAUCGCAUCUCCUGAAUCAAUUAAAUAAUAUAAUUUCCAACUGCUUCCGGACCACCAACGCAGUGCCUUUCGGAUCGAGGCGGUUUGUAAAUUUCGCACGUGAAUAAUUUCAUCUCGUAGAUCAUUUCAAGCAUCGUAAUCUUUUUUUUUUUGUCUAUUUAUUUUUUCCUCUCAGGCCGCUAUAAUUUCGAUUAUAAUUGUGCGACAAAUAAGAUGCGCGAUAACUGGAAAUUAUCAUAUAAAAUUCUGAUUCCUUUUCAGUUUUCCCUGGGUCGAUUGAGCCAAUGAUACAUCGAUAUGAUGCGGAUGCUGCAUGUAUGGAAUUUUCAGGAGCAGUUCGUUCGCUGAUUAUCGGCGAGGUGGAUGCAGAACUGAAUUAACACGAGAUCGACGUAAUAGCAAACGGUGCGUAAUGCCCGUCUCGUGCGAUCACGCGUUGUAUUUCACAUACAUUUUCUCGAUGUUCUUAGUACCAGCCAUCGUGCAUUGUAUACUUUAUAAUACAGAACGCGGCACGCUGCAGAGAUACCGCGUAUACUCCAACUGACAUAGCUGCUUAUACGUCCAAUUCAGCCAGUUAACGUCAAUUGAACUAAAUUGUUUCAAUUGGACGUAAUUGCGGCAAGGCGACGGGGUAUCUCCGUUGUUACCACGUACACAAAUAUACUAUACAGUAUACAUACAUGUUUACGAAAGAAACACGCAUUAUGUAUAGUAUAUCCAUAUACAUACACACUCUACUUUUCUCCAUACCAUAGCGAUGCUCCAGCUCUUCCCAGGCUCAAUUCAUAAACUCUUCUGUAUUUUUAACCGAUAUAUUCAACGCACCACAGCUUCCUUUCCCUCUGGCUGCAUCGGUGUGCAUUUUGUGGGUUUUUUUUUUUUCUUAUUGGUUUUUUUUUUUUUUUAUAUCUGCCGUACAUAUGACCACUUGCAGCAACAGGCAGUGCAUGGUUGUGGAGAAAAAACGAAAAAAAAAACUCUGCCUUCGGAUAAUGACAGGAAUUUUCUGUAGAUUAGUUCAGUUUUAGCGUUAACAUCUUUCCCGCGCAUCUCUUUCUUCCAUUGGAUAUAUGUAUCAAAAAAAAUCCACCUGCUAUUAAUUGUCUUCGCUAUAGUUACGCCUGAUAAUAUUAUAGGCAUAUAUCCGUCAUCGUACAGUUGGAUUAACGCGAUGCCGAGUGACAAAUUAUAACGAGACGCGGUGUGACGUGCGUUUUUGCACAUCCUCAUUAUAAGCUAUGAUGUCUGUAUAGAUAUAUUUGGUAUAUUAUUUCUAUACUCGCAGGCGUAUAAUUUCGUAUUUAACGUCGAGGGAAAUAAAAUUUCAACAUUGGAUUAUUUUUACUUCAUUUUCGAGUUAUCAUAUUUCUUUUUGACUGACGAGGGUAGAUAUAGUCGACCCACAUAUUUCGUGAGAACAAAAUUAUUACUAUACAAAUUUCUCAUGAAGUAACAGACGAUGGAGGGUGGGUCGAUCAAACUGGACUCUGUGGGGCUCGAAAAAUGUUUCAUCCCGCAUAAGAUUUUGCUGCGGGUGGCGAGAAAAAGAAGUUUAUAUUUUAUUUGUGUGAUUUCAUUAACACCACGAGACGAUGGCUUAAAUACUAGAUUGCGUUUGUGGAAUAUAAAAACGGCUGGAGAUAAAACAAUGUAGUGACUAUGACAAAUGUAUUGGACAAUCUGAAGAUCUAAGGAAGAU